UGGACAGAAGGAGCACAGAUCAGAUCGUAUCAGUGUGGUCUUGAAGACAGAAUGGCCUCUGUCCAUAGGAAGUGUAGUCUCAAAGAAUUUUCUGAUGAAAAUGAUCUUCAAAUGCAGGUAUUUGCUAAUCCUUUCAAAUCUUUUGUUGAAAUGCAGGGAAAAAAAAGCCAUGCCAGUAGGAGCCAUCAUCAGAAGGGUGCACACCUAAUGCCUUUAUUGUGGAGCUGAAAGGGAGUGCAAGGUGAUGUCUAUGAUCAAUUACUCGCAAACUGGAAAGACUGUUGUCAACCUCUGACAUAACACUUCAUCCCUAUCUGAGGAGUCAGCAACAGAUUUCGACUGUCACCUGAAGAAGACUGCCUAAGGAAAAAGUAAUUUCCUUUGUCUGAAAAACAAAAAGAGAAAAAUGCUCAAAUUCGGGAAACGUUUAUUAAAGCUGAGCAAAUGGAGCUCACAAGAAGAGAAAAGGAUGAAUCUGUCAAAUCUUCUAAAGGAAAGCAGACACGAAUCCUACAUAGUCUGAGGGGACUCUUUAGAAAUUCCCAUCUCUGAAAAACAACGUUGUUGACAGCCUGUAUGUGGUCAAGAAAAAUAGG